rfam:Arthrospira platensis NIES-39 DNA, nearly complete genome.
AGGAGCCGUGUGAGGGGAAACUUUCACGCACGGUUCUGGAUCAGAGGUAGGAAAGGUGACUUUCUUAUCGACUGUAAU